rnacentral:rRNA from 1 species
AGUGAACGCUGGCGGUAGGCCUAACACAUGCAAGUCGAACGGCAGCACAGUAAGAGCUUGCUCUUACGGGUGGCGAGUGGCGGACGGGUGAGGAAUACAUCGGAAUCUACUUUUUCGUGGGGGAUAACGUAGGGAAACUUACGCUAAUACCGCAUACGACCUACGGGUGAAAGCAGGGGAUCUUCGGACCUUGCGCGAUUGAAUGAGCCGAUGUCGGAUUAGCUAGUUGGCGGGGUAAAGGCCCACCAAGGCGACGAUCCGUAGCUGGUCUGAGAGGAUGAUCAGCCACACUGGAACUGAGACACGGUCCAGACUCAGACGGGAGGCAGCAGUGGGGAAUAUUGGACAAUGGGCGCAAGCCUGAUCCAGCCAUACCGCGUGGGUGAAGAAGGCCUUCGGGUUGUAAAGCCCUUUUGUUGGGAAAGAAAAGCAGCAGGUUAAUACCCCGCUGUUCUGACGGUACCAAAAGAAUAAGCACCGGCUAACUUCGAG